rnacentral:rRNA from 1 species
AGUGAACGCUGGCGGUAGGCCUAACACAUGCAAGUCGAACGGCAGCACAGUAAGUGCUUGCUCUUACGGGUUGCGAGUGGCGGACGUGUGAGGAAUACAUCGGACUCUACUUUUUCGUGGGGGCUAACGUAGGUAAACUUACGCUCAUACCGCAUCCGACCUACGGUUGAAAGCAGGAGAUCUUCUGACCUUGCGCGAUUCAAUGAGCCUAUGUCGGUUUAGCUAGUUGGCGGGGUAAAGGCCCACCAAGGCGACGAUCCGUAGCUGGUCUGAGAGGAUGAUCAGCGACAGUGGAACUGAGACACGGUCCAGACUCCUAAGGGAGGCAGAAGUGGGGAAUAUAGGACAAAGGGCGCAAGCCUGAUCAAGACAUACCGCGUGGGUGAAGAAGGCCUGCGGGUUGUAAAGCCCUUUUGUUGGGAAAGAAAAGCAGCAGGUGAAUAGCCAGCUGUUGUGACGGUACCCAAAGAAUAAGCACCGGCUAACUACGUG